ensembl:lincRNA
CGGUUGUUAAACAUUUUAUUGAACUCUUCAUGUGCCUUUCAGAUGUAUUGUGCUUCAAGUGUGCUUGUACCAGCUUUUUCUGUUUAGAAAUGCUUCAGUGUCUCCAUUGUCAAAACGAUCAGAAGGCAGUAAUUGUAUUUCCAAUGUGAGGACAAACAAUACUAGAUAUCCUGCAAUCCUACAUUGUAAAAAAUAUUCCCAUCAAAUGCCCCAAUGGAUAGACACAAUGAAUUGGGAGAUAGCCGUGGGCGUUAAAACUGUUUCAAGAAGUGCAACUUAGCAUUCAGGGCUGACCUCAUGAGCUUCCAGAGACAUUAGAGUGUUGAAAUUUCCAGGAUGCAAAACGAAGGGGCAAUUCAAAACAUUCAUCUCCACUUCUCAACAACAUGGUCCCUGUCACCAUCCACCUCGACUUCAUGUAUCUUCUGCUUCUACCCGUGUAACAAGUACAUGUCUCUCAAAACAGAAUUUUGGCUUUUCCAGAUUGGCAAAUACCUCUUAGUUAAAUGUGGCUUUCAAGUAUGUGUUUACUCCUUUAUGUUUCAAUUUUCCUUCAAUUUUGGCCUGGAGAGUGUCUCAACUAAGAAGCUAAAAAGGGAAAGAAAAGAAAAGCAAUUAUGUUUUUUUCCCCUGCGGCCUAUACAAACACAUACACACCAAGGUAGUAAACGCAUAGUGGAAAAAAAAAGGUCAGAGGUCCGGGCGCAGUGGCUCACGCCUGUAAUCCCAGCACUUUGGGAGGCCGAAGCGGGCAGAUCACGAAGUGAGGAGAUCGAGACCAUCCCAGCUAACACGGUGAAACCCCCGUCUCCACUAAAAACACAAAAAAUUAGCUGGGCGAGAUGGCGGGCGCCUGUAGUCCCAGCUACUGGGGAGGCUGAGGCAGGAGAAUGGCGUAAACCCGGGAGGCGGAGCUUGCAGUGAGCCGGGAUCCGGCCACUGCACUCCAGCCUGGGCGACAGAGCGAGACUCCGUCUCAAAAAAAAAAAAAGAAAGAAAAAGAAAAAAAUGGUUAGAGAUAUCUUGUCAGAGGUUUUUUUUUCCUUUUCUAUUUGGGCUUAAUUUCACAGGUCAUGAAUAAUGGACUAUUGAUCUACUAUGAUGCUCCCUUAACUCUAACCCACUGGGUUCUUUCUGCUGUCUUUGGCAACAACACUUUUGCCUAGGAGAUCUAUUAUGGAGUUGGGGAUUGGUUCUGUCUUUCUCAUGACCGCCUUCAUGCAUUUAAUCUUAAUGGUGUCCUUCCUGGUAUUCAGAACUUUUGAUUUUUUUAUUUGGCAAUAGAUGGCAAAUGACAUGGAAUGAAAAGCAGAGACAGAACUUUCAGUCUUGAAUUCAGUAUAGUUUCUAUAUGAUUUCACUAAUAUGCUGUCAAUUUCAGGCACUUCUGGUAGUAAAAUAGAAAUUGUCUUCCAUGGUCACUGGGGUAUUGUGGAAGACAUAGCUGUUGGUAUUUGAAGAGCAGUCGCAGGAAGGUGGAGUCCAAGUCAGGUUCUAACAGCCUGUCCUGGGGAAAAUAGCCUAGUCUUUUAAAAUUUAAUGGUUAAGAGCAAGACUAAAAAAAAAAGUAAGUGUAGAUAAAUAGCUUUUGCUCACUGCUACUACUAAUUCAAAUGGCUUUUUCCAGGAAUCCAUUCAACUCCCAGAUCUGUUGUUUUUCACAAUAUAUUAAGUUUGUUAUUUCUACAGCCCCAAAUAAAAUAAAUAACAAUUACUCUUCCGUGUCAGGUUUUUCUGAGUCAGAAUCCAGGGUUUGAAAUCCAUUUAUAUUUUUUUCUGGUAUUAGUAGAUUUUCUUUUGAAUUAUGAGAUCGCAUCCCAUAGUAUGGAUAUACCUCCAUUUAUUUGUUCCUGCGGAUAUGUGUUUCCUGUUUCAGGCAG